CAGUAGCCGCGGGAAUACGUAGGGUGCAAGCGUUAAUCGGAAUUACUGGGCGUAAAGCGUGCGCAGGCGGUUAUAUAAGACAGAUGUGAAAUCCCCGGGCUCAACCUGGGAACUGCAUUUGUGACUGUAUAGCUAUAGUACGGCAGAGGGGGAUGGAAUUCCGCGUGUAGCAGUGAAAUGCGUAGAUAUGCGGAGGAACACCGAUGGCGAAGGCAAUCCCCUGGGCCUGUACUGACGCUCAUGCACGAAAGCGUGGGGAGCAAACAGGAUUAGAUACCCCCGUAGUCCCUGUCUCUUAUAC
rnacentral:rRNA from 1 species